AUUGAACGCUGGCGGCAUGCCUUACACAUGCAAGUCGAACGGUAACGCGGGGGAACCUGGCGACGAGUGGCGAACGGGUGAGUAAUGCAUCGGAACGUGCCCAGUAGUGGGGGAUAGCCCGGCGAAAGCCGGAUUAAUACCGCAUACGACCUACGGGUGAAAGCGGGGGACCGUAAGGCCUCGCGCUAUUGGAGCGGCCGAUGUCAGAUUAGGUUGUUGGUGGGGUAAAAGCCUACCAAGCCGACGAUCUGUAGCUGGUCUGAGAGGACGACCAGCCACACUGGGACGGAGACACGGCCCAGACUCCUACGGGAGGCAGCAGUGGGGAAUUUUGGACAAUGGGGGAAACCCUGAUCCAGCCAUGCCGCGUGCGGGAAGAAGGCCUUCGGGUUGUAAACCGCUUUUGUCAGGGAAGAAACGCUCUGGGCUAAUACCCCGGGGUAAUGACGGUACCUGAAGAAUAAGCACCGGCUAACUACGUGCCAGCCGCCGCCGUAAUAC
rnacentral:rRNA from 1 species